AGAGGUGGAAGAAGCAUAGGUCUUGGAUAAAGUGGUAUUUAGUGUUGUAUCUGGGGUAGAUUGAGUGGGGGGAACAAUGAAAGAGUGGGAGAGCACUAGAGAUAGCAGCCUGCAAAAUUUUGACAUUAUGAAAUAUGGAGCAUCUAUUUUCAGGUUAUUUUAGAGAAUUCUUGUACCACAAAGAGUUUUCUAUUAAGAUUUCUAAUUCAACUCAUACAAUAUCAGACACCUGAUUUAGUGAAAAUACAUUCAGAACAAAAUAAUAUAUAACACUCAGACACAGAGCUUCAGUAUAUAUUGCUACCCCUAGCCUUUUGGAACACAUUUCAUUUGUAAACCCAGUAAAAAAUCACAGAUGUCUGUCAUUGAAAGAAAUUAACUUUAUUCUGUUUGUUUCUUCCUACAAAAGUAGACAACCAUAUCAUUCCUUUUGGGCAUUUGCCAAAUCCUUUGGGAUAAUCUGAUAGAGAUACCGUGGAGUUGUGAACAGUUGUAGUUCUGCCAUUGACCUACAGUAGCUGUGUUUUUUGGGGUUUUUUUUCUGGUGUGAACCUUCCUUGAGGAAUGCCUGCUCUGUGGACUUUAUCUUCUCCUUUCUGGUAGGAUUCUGGAUACCAUUUCAUUCCGUGUUGUCUUGCAGAGCAAUGGAGCCAUCUGAAGUGACAUUAUGGGCUGCAGGAGGAUCCCUGGAGAGACUGACACAUGGAUUGCCCUCAAAUAUCUGCUGAAACAGCAGGAGUUCUACAUUCUUGUUGUAACAGGUAUGCCAGAGAAGAAAUUAAAACUAACGUAAGAGCAUUUUCAUGACAGAAGUGAAGUUCCUCAAAGCAGUGCAAAAAGGACAACACUAACUACUGAUUCUUAUGUGACUUGUGACUGAAGUGUAAAGGGUAAAAUGCUACCAACCCCUCUUCAGGGCUGGGUGAGUGGCACAGAAAGGCUGACACACAUAGAGAAUCUGAUUUUAUCAGAAGUUGGAGAAAAUUAUUUUGUUUUGUAAUUUGCCCUGUUCUUG
rnacentral:lncRNA from 1 species